ensembl:lncRNA
UUUUUUUUUUUUUUUUUUGAGUCUGAGUCUCGCUCUUGUUGCCCAGGCUGGAGUGCAAUGGCGUGAUCUCGGCUCACUGCAACCUCCGCCUCCCAGGUUCACGACAUUCUGCCUCAGCCUCCCGAGUAGCUGGGACUACAGGCGCCCUCCAACCACGCCCGACUAAUUUUUGUAGUUUUAGUAGAGACGGGGUUUCACUAUGUUGCCCAGGCUGAUCUCGAACUCCUGAUCUCAGGUGACCCGACGUCUCGGCCUCCCAAAGUGCUGGGAUUACAGGUGUGAGCCACCGCACCCAAACAGUUUCUGGAAUCUUGAAGUGUCUCUGCUGCUCCCUCUGAUCACUCUCAGACCACCUCUCCUGUCUGCACAUAAGGGUGGUCAUUCUGACUUCUAACAGCCCUGUGAUUUUUGUAAACAUUUGUAUGCUCUUUGUAUUUACUAAUUUAAUCCUCACGGUAAUCAUAUCCAAAUACUACUGUUCCCAUACUAAAAUGAGGAGAGCAUAGUGUCCCUGUUAUCUGCCAAGGUCUCGUCUCUUUUUUUUUGAGACAGUUUCGCUGUUGUUGCCCAGGCUGGAGUGCAAUAGCGCCAUUUUGGCUCACCAUUACCUCCCCCUCCUGGGUUCUCCUGCCUCAGCAUCCCCAGUAGCUGGGAUUACAGGCAUGCGCCACCACGCCUGUUUAAUUUUGUAUUUUUAGUAAGGACGGGGUUACUCGAUGUUGGUCAGGCUGGUCUCGAACUCCCGACCUCAGAUGAUCUGCCCGCUUCGACCUCCCAAAGUGCUGGGAUUACAGGUGUGAGCCACUGUGCCUGGCCAAGGUUUCAUCUCUUAAGUAACAGAACUGGGAUCCAACCCACAGACCUGGCUCCAAGUCACAUAUUCUUUUUUUAAAAAAUUUUAAUAAUUUUUUUCAAGUCACAUAUUCUUUAGCCACUAAACUGUGGUGUGAAACCAUCAUGCAAGUGGGAAGAACAGUUCAAUUCAUUAAACUUGGUGUGCUGAAAAAUUGCCAUUCACCUCCACACACAUUUUAGGGAUGGUUUCACACACGCUCUAGGUUUUCAGAUCCCCUGAAUGGCAACCGUACCCUGGGAGGAGGUAUGAGGAUCAAAGAAGAUAAGGGACUCGUCCAGAGCCACAGGUGGUUGGGAGCCGGGUCAGAUUUGAGCACAAGACAGACCAGGAACCAUCAUUUUCUUCCUUUUCACAAGGAUAGGGGAAACUGGGUCAGGAGGGUGACACUCGUCUAAGUAGGCUCAACUCAGCACUCUACAUGGGUGGUCCUAAACUUGUGUGAUGUCUACCUAGAUCCUUGUCCCAGGACUGGAUGCCCUUAGGUUCCUCAGACUCUUUGGGGGACCAAGGGUGUCUCCUGCAUUCACACUGCUGACAGCAGAUCUGCUCAGGAGUGAGGCACAGGCUGGGUAGGACAGAGGCACUCUUCAGAUUCGGGGUACAGCAGGAGGGACUGGUGGACACUUGCUCUGUCCCCACAACCAUCUUUGGGGAAGGGAUCAUGACUCCCCUCAGGGCCAUGGCACAUACUUUCAGAUAAUAUGGGUAUUAUGGUGAACUUGGAUAUCCGAAAAUUCUAUAAUUUGGUCAGGGUACGGUCCAGUCUCCUAUUAUUCGUUCUCCCCGCAGCAUGUGACCCAGCCCAUCCCCGCUCCUUCUUCCUCGCCCCGGGACCCUCCAGCUUGGCCCUCCCCACUUCCUGGGCCGGCCGGCCCUCACCCUCGGCAAGGAUCCCCGGGCUCCUCUCCUCGACGCCCGACCUCUCCAAGGGCCUACAGUGGACAAGGUCCCCGCGUCCAGCAGCGCCCGUCCAUCAGGGAGACGGUCAUCUGCCACCUGCAAACCACGACGUUCCACGAGGGGGUACAAGCGUCUCCCCUGCCCAUCUCCUGCUCUGCAUCAGCGAGAACCCCUCCGCCUACACGGAAGCCCCUCACCAGGCAAAGCCGGGAGCCCCAGACCCCGUGGCCCGGAGUGGGUCGAUCUGUGACGCCCUGCACAGUUCACUCAACCACUCGGCGCCUCCUCGACCACUCAGAGAACACUUGCCCUCCCGGAGACCCCGGUGAAAGCCGAGCACUCUUUCCCUCCUUCAGAACCCGCGCCAGCAGGACCUCGCGCGCCGCGUCUCCC